rnacentral:rRNA from 1 species
AAAACCGGUCUCAGUUCGGAUCGGAGUCUGCAACCCGACUCCGUGAAGCUGGAUUCGCUAGUAAUCGCGCAUCAGCCAUGGCGCGGUGAAUACGUUCCCGGGCCCUUGUACACACCGCCCGUCAAGCCAUGGAAGCCGGGGGGUGCCUGAAGUGCGUGACCGCAAGGAGCGCCCUAAGGUAAAACCGGUGACUGGGGCUAAGUCGUAACAAGGUAAC